rnacentral:rRNA from 1 species
CCUACGGGUGGCAGCAGUGGGGGAUAUUGCACAAUGGGGGAAACCCUGAUGCAGCGAUGCCGCGUGAAUGAAGACGGCCUUCGGGUUGUAAAGUUCUGUCGCAGGGGACGAAAAUGACGGUACCCUGCAAGAAAGCUCCGGCUAACUACGUGCCAGCAGCCGCGGUAAUACGUAGGGAGCAAGCGUUGUCCGGAAUUACUGGGUGUAAAGGGAGCGUAGGCGGGAGGAUAAGUUGAAUGUGAAAUCUAUGGGCUCAACCCAUAGCUGCGUUCAAAACUGUUCUUCUUGAGUGAAGUAGAGGCAGGCGGAAUUCCUAGUGUAGCGGUGAAAUGCGUAGAUAUUAGGAGGAACAUCAGUGGCGAAGGCGACUAUCUGGCACAUAACUGACGCUGAGGAGCGAAAGCGUGGGUAGCAAACAGGAUUAGAUACCCUAGUAGUC